rnacentral:rRNA from 1 species
UACGGGGGGGGGCAAGCGUUGUUCGGAAUUACUGGGCGUAAAGGGCCAGUAGGCGGCCAACUAAGUCGGAUGUGAAAUCCCCGGGCUCAACCUGGGAACUGCAUUUGUGACUGCACAGCUGGAGUGCGGCAGAGGGGGAUGGAAUUCCGCGUGUAGCAGUGAAAUGCGUAGAUAUGCGGAGGAACACCGAUGGCGAAGGCAAUCCCCUGGGCCUGCACUGACGCUCAGUGCACGAAAGCGUG